rnacentral:rRNA from 1 species
GACGAACGCUGGCGGCGUGCUUAAUACAUGCAAGUCGAACGGAAAGGCCCUGCGUUUGUGGGGUGAACGAGUGGCGAAAGGGUGAGUAUCACGUGAGUAACCUGCCCUUGUCUUUGGGAUAACUUCAGGAAACACGGGCUAAUACCGGAUAGGAGCUCCUGCUGCAGGGUGGGCGUGGGUAAGUUUCGGCGGUUGGGGAUGGACUCGCGGGUUAUGGGCUUCUUGGUGGGGUAGUGGCUUACCAAGGCUUUGACGGCUAGUCUGCCUGAGAGGGUGACCGGCCACAUGGGGACUGAGAUACGGCCCAGACUCCUACGGGAGGCAGCAGUGGGGAGUAUUGCACAAUGGGCGGAAGCUUGAUGUAGCAACGCCGCGUGCGGGAUGACGGCCUUCGGGUUGUAAACCGCUUUCGCAUGUGACGAAGCGUGAGUGACGGUAAUGGGUAAAGAAGCACCGGCUAACUACGUG